rnacentral:rRNA from 1 species
AGAACGAACGCUGGCGGCAUGCCUAACACAUGCAAGUCGAACGUGAUCCAUGACUUCGGUUGUGGUGAAAGUGGCAAACGGGUGAGUAACGCGUGGGAAUCUGCCCAGAGGUAGGGAAUAACCGCGGGAAACUGCGGCUAAUACCCUAUGUGCCCUACGGGGCAAAGAUUUAUCGCCUUUGGAGGAGCCCGCGUCGGAUUAGGUAGUUGGUAGGGUAACGGCCUACCAAGCCUACGAUCCGUAGCUGGUCUGAGAGGAUGAUCAGCCACACUGGGACUGAGAUACGGCCCAGACUCCUACGGGAGGCAGCAGUGGGGAAUAUUGGACAAUGGGGGCAACCCUGAUCCAGCAAUGCCGCGUGAGUGAUGAAGGCCUUCGGGUUGUAAAGCUCGUUUCGGCGGGGAAGAGUGAUGACGGUACUCGCAGAAGAAGCCCCGGCUAACUUCGUGCCAGCAGCCGC